CCAGGGGCUGGGAGAGGGGGCACCGGGAGGAGUGUGAGCGAAUCUCUCCACCCCAGCUGGGUUGAGCUACCUUGGAGGCUUGGGAAGCACCGUGUCCAGCUUUUCCUACCCCGAGUAGCCGAGAGGGGACACCAGGAGAAUCAGCACCCAUGUGGACAUCUUAGGAAGCAGGAGGAAGCUUCUCUUGUCUGCUUUGCUGUCAGCUGUGUCCUAGCCCAGAUGAGAGUCCGGCACACAGCAGGUACUGAGUAAAUAUGUGUACAAUGAAUAUUGCAGGUGAGAUAGAAGCAGAAUAUAACCACAGUUCCUUUUAGAUGUCACCUGCUCUGGGUUUGAGAUCUGAAGGGAUUUACUCCGGACAGGAGAACUGAAUAAUUCCGCCUGUGCUCAUGUGGGUUGGGAGGAU